GGCGGCGGCGGCUGGGGCGGGCGGCGCGCCGAGUCUCCGCGGCGACUGCGGCCACUGCGUGCGGCCGCCAACCUGCCCGGCGACCUCCCGGUCCUCCUGCCCGCCGCGGGGAGGCCGUCGCGGAGCCGGCCCUGAGACCUUCGCUCCGCGCCCCGCCGGGAGGUGAUCCCCAACCGAGCACUGCGGGGUGCGUGCCGUCGGGGACCGCUGCGCUGCUGGCCCAGCGCAAGGGAACCUUGCACGGGACUUGGGGACGUUCCGCACAGCUCCCAGCAAUGUUUGGAUUUGGGGGACCGAGGGGCGCUGCUGUCACAAAUCCCUCGCACGGAGAGGCGACUGUCCGGAACCCCCGGAACCCCCCCCCCCCAAGACCUGGUCCCACGGCAGAGGGCGGUGACGCGGUCUCUCCCGGGAGCUGCAGCAGGAGUCGCGAGGCAGGGACACCUCAGUCUGCAGGAGGAGGAGCCGUGGAGGGAGAAGGUGGCUGCGAGGGGCCUCACUCCGUCCGCUUCACCUCAGAGCCGGGAGGUCCCCGAGGCCUGGGAGCGCAACCGCUGAGCAAGAGAUCUUAUUUAUUGGGACGCCUGGGUGGCUCAGCGGUUGAACGUCUGCCUUGGGCUCAGGAUGUCAUCUCAGAGUUCCGGGAUCAAGUCUCGCAUCAGGCUCCUGCAUGGAGCCUGCUUCUCCUCCCUCUGCCUAUGUCUCUGCCUCUCUCUGUGUCUCUCAUGAAUAAACAAAUAAAAUCUUUUUUUUUUUUUUUAAAAAGAUCUUAUUUAUUGAUUUUAGACAGGGAGUAGGGAGGGGAGGGGCAGAGGAGGAAAGAACGAGAAUCUCAA
rnacentral:lncRNA from 12 species